CACACACACACACGUCACAACACUGUCCCUGGUGAGCCUGAGCUUGGCCCAGUUGGGCAGGGACCAUAAGGGAGGCACAGGGCUAUGCACGUGUACACUGAAACUCACAGAUGAUAUGGAGCCAAGAGUGGACCAGGAGCCAGCAGCUCCACCUUCUAGAAACCAAGGAAAAGGCCAAGAGCAAGCAAUGAAGGAAUCAAGAUGACCAAGUUGAAAUAUAGGAGAGGACUAUUUCUCUAUGUUGACAAACUGUGCAGCAACAGAGUCUGUUCAUUGGGCUGGAAUCUCGAUCCACUGGUGGCUUCAAC
rnacentral:lncRNA from 1 species